ACCUAACGAGGGCUUGCUCUUGUUUGGUCAGCGGCGGACGGGUGAGUAACACGUGGGCAACCUGCCCCGCAAGACCGGGAUAACUCCCGGGAAGCCGGAGCUAAUACCGGAUAACACCGAAGACCGCAUGGUCUUCGGUUGAAAGGCGGCCUUUGGGCUGUCACUUGCGGAUGGGCCCGCGGCGCAUUAGCUAGUUGGUGAGGUAACGGCUCACCAAGGCGACGAUGCGUAGCCGGCCUGAGAGGGUGACCCGGCCACACUGGGACUGAGACACGGCCCAGACUCC
rnacentral:rRNA from 1 species